rnacentral:rRNA from 1 species
AUGCCAAAGUUCACUGGAAGCAAUGACCCCGAAGAGUACAUCUCAUGGGCAUUGAAGGUUGACAAAAUCUUCCGCUUGCACAACUACGAAGAAGAGAAGAAGAUCGCAAUGGCAUCCCUUGAAUUCCAAGACUACGUCCUCAUUUGGUGGGAACAAGUCAUUGAGCGCCGAGAGGCAAGAGGUGAACCACCCAUCACUACUUGGGCGCAAAUGAAGGAUGUCAUGAGAGCACGUUUCGUGCCAAACUACUACAACCGCGACCUCUUCAAGAAACUCCAACUCCUCAAACAAGGAACCAAGAGCGCUGAAGAGUACUACAAGGAAAUGGAGAUUGCCAUGAUACGAGCCAAUGUCACGGAAGAUGACGAGAAAACUAUGGCACGUUUCUCGAAUGGAAUCAAUCAUCCUAUCAAGAAGAUCGCUGACUUCCAACCAUACUCGAACCUCAUCGAGCUAGUGCAUCAAGCUACCAAAGCGGAAUGGCAAGUACAAGACGACUUCAAAUAUGCCAAGUUCUCAUCCAAGUCCUACGGCUUCUCCACCACCCAAGCUUCAACGACUCCAACAACUUCUACCUCAACCAAGCCAUCUACAAGCAACGGCGACAAGUCAAGUUACAAGAAAACUUCGACAACCUCAAGUCGUCCUCCUACUACAAGCAACUUCAAGCCGAGAGCUUCAUCAUCAUCUACCCCAACCGAUGAGACCAUCAAGACAAGUUCCUUCAAAUGCUUCACAUGCGGCGACCGAGGCCACAAGUCCUUUGAGUGCACCAACAAGCGCACCAUAAUCCUCAACGACGACGGAACCUAUGACUCAAUGAGUGAAGGAGAAAUGGAAGCACUUGAGCAAGUGGCCAUGCACCGACAAGUGAACAACGAAGAUGAAGAUGAUCAAAUCUUUUGUGACGAAGAUUCAAGCCCCGCUCUUGUUGUCUCUAAGGUCUUGACUCUUCACCAUCAACAAGACGAAGACCAAAGAUACCAUAUCUUCCACACCAAGGCCGGCAUAAAUGGAAGGUCCGUCAAGGUCAUCAUUGAUGGAGGGAGUUUCCAUAACCUCGCAAGUGAAGAACUAUGCUCCAAGAUCUAA